rnacentral:tRNA from 2 species
CCUCGCCGGCGCGCGGCCGGUCGCCGCUCUCGCGGGCCGCGUGCGCGGCGAUGAGGAAGUAGCGCUGCGCGGUGGGUUCGAGGCCCACGUCGUGGG